GUGAAAUGCGUAGAGAUCAGGAGGAACACCUAUGGCGAAAGCAGGUGACUGGCCCAAUACUGACACUGAGCUGCGAAAGCUAGGGGAGCAAACAGGAUUAGAUACCCUGGUAGUCCUAGCCAUAAACGAUGCAGACCAGACGUGGGGGGUAUCGACCCCCUCCGCGCCGACCCUAACGGAUUAAGUCUGCCGCCUGGGGAGUACGGCCGCAAGGUUGAAACUCAAAGGAAUUGACGGGGACCCGCACAAGCGGUGGAGUAUGUGGUUUAAUUCGACGCAACACGAAAAACCUUACCUGGGCUCGAACGACUGGAAGUAAGCUGCCUGAAAGGGCGGACGAACUGUAAAAUCAGUAACCAGCCGAGGUGCUGCAUGGUUGUCGUCAGCUCGUGUCGUGAGAUGUUGGGUUAAGUCCCGCAACGAGCGCAACCCUCAUCUCCUGUUGCCACCCGCAAGGGGGCACUCUGGAGAAACUGCCCACGAUGAGUGGGAGGAAGGUGGGGAUGACGUCAAAUCACCAUGGCCCUUAUGUCCAGGGCUACACACGUACUACAAUGGCCAGCACAACGGGAUGCAAUGCCGCAAGGCGGAGCCAAUCCUUAUAAAACUGGCCCCAGUUCAGAUUGUGGGCUGCAACUCGCCCACAUGAAGGUGGAAUCGCUAGUAAUCGCGAAUCAGAAGGUCGCGGUGAAUACGUUCCCGGGUCUUGUACACACCGCCCGUCACACCACGAAAGUCCGCUGCAACAGAAGUGCCCGGCUUGCCGGGCCCGAAGUUGUGGUUGGUGAUUGGGGUGAAGUCGUAACAAGGUAACCGU
rnacentral:rRNA from 1 species